rnacentral:rRNA from 1 species
CACGUGGAGGCGCGAGCGUUGUCCGGAAUUAUUGGGCGUAAAGAGCUCGUAGGCGGCCUGUUGCGUCCGCUGUGAAAGCCCGGGGCUUAACCCCGGGUCGGCAGUGGAUACGGGCAGGCUAGAGGUAGGUAGGGGAGAAUGGAAUUCCCGGUGUAGCGGUGAAAUGCGCAGAUAUCGGGAGGAACACCGGUGGCGAAGGCGGUUCUCUGGGCCUUACCUGACGCUGAGGAGCGAAAGCGUGGGGAGCGAACAGG